rnacentral:rRNA from 1 species
AGCGAACGUUUGCGGCGGGCCUAACACAUGCAAGUCGAACGCACUAGCAAUAGUGAGUGGCGCACGGGUGCGUAACACGUGGGUAAUCAACCCUUCAGCCUGGGAUAACGACUCGAAAGGGUCGCUAAUACCGGAUACGGCGCGAGAGGCUUCGGCUUACUCACGAGAAAGCCACGCAAGGGGCACUGAAGGACGAGCCUGCGGCCCAUCAGCUAGUUGGUGAGGUAAGAGCUCACCAAGGCUAAGACGGGUAGCUGGUCUGAGAGGAUGAUCAGCCACGACUGGAACUGAGACACGGUCCAGACUCCUACGGGAGGCAGCAGUGGGGAAUAGUUGCGCAAUGGGCGAAAGCCUGACGCAGCCACGCCGCGUCGAGCGAUGAAGG